CCUACGGGUGGCAGCAGUGGGGGAUAUUGGACAAUGGGGGAAACCCUGAACCAGCAACGCCGCGUGAGGGAAGACGGCUUUCGGGUUGUAAACCUCAGUGAUCAGGGAUGAAACAAAUGACAGUACCUGAAAAGCAAGACCCGGCUAACUACGUGCCAGAAGCCGCGGUAAUACGUAGGGAGCAAGCGUUGUCCGGAUUUAUUGGGUGUAAAGGGUGCGUAGGCGGGAACACAAGUCAGGCGUGAACUACCGGGGCUCAACUCCGGGGCUGCGCUUGAAACUGUGUUUCUUGAGUGAAGUAGAGGCAGGCGGAAUUCCUAGUGUAGCGGUGGAAUGCGUAGAUAUUAGGAGGAACACCAGUGGCGAAGGCGGAUUGCUGGACAGUAACUGACGCUGAGGCGCGAAAGCGUGGGGAGCAAACAGGAUUAGAUACCCUAGUAGUC
rnacentral:rRNA from 1 species